rnacentral:rRNA from 1 species
CCUACGGGUGGCAGCAGUGAGGAAUAUUGGUCAAUGGGCGCGAGCCUGAACCAGCCAAGUAGCGUGAAGGAUGACUGCCCUACGGGUGGUAAACUUCUUUUAUAAGGGAAUAGAGUGACGCACGUUUGCUUUGUUGUAUCUACUUUAUGCAUAAGGAUCGGCUAAAUACGUGCCAGCAGCCGCGGUAAUACGGAGGAUCCGAGCGUUAUCCGGAUUUAUUGGGUUUAAAGGGAGCGUAGAUGGGUUGUUAAGUCAGUUGUGAAAGUUUGCGGCUCAACCGUAAAAUUGCAAUUGAUACUGGCAGGCUUGAGUGCAGUUGAGGUAGGCGGAAUUCGUGGUGUAGCGGUGAAAUGCUUAGAUAUCACGAAGAACUCCGAUUGCGAAGGCAGCCUACUAAACUGCAACUGACAUUGAUGCUCGAAAGUGUGGGUAUCAAACAGGAUUAGAUACCCCUGUAGUC